CAAAAGAAGAUAUUUGGAAGAAUGUGGAUAAGCAAACAGUUUCUGGUCCCCAGUGACUUUCAUAGUAUUUUUUUUUUCUUCUUUUUUCCUAUAGUAUGGAAGUCAGUGGGGACCAGCAACUGUUUGCUUAAAUGUGCCAUAGAAUGUCCAUUUCAUAAGAUGUAAUAUAAGUGUAAGGUCUCCCCAGAAUGUGUCUGUGAAGUUUCAGCUCAAAAUAACCUAUAGAUUUUUUUUAUUAUACCAUGUUUUAACUGCCUAUUUUGGGGUGGGAUUAAAAAUGCACUGAUUUGGUGUGUGUACACCUUAAAUGCUCAUGCUCCCCGCCCCCAAGCUCGUGACUCCAUUAAACAUUGCAUAAAUACUACAGAAGUUCACAAUAUAACUCUCAAAAUGGAUCUUUACAAAGUUUUUGUGAUGCAGCAUAUCAGAUCACGUUAAGUAUGGCAUGUAUUUUGUGGAUGCUUGUUAAAAUUCGAUUUUGAAUGAGUUUGAUAGCGUGCUGCACGGCUAACGUGGCUAAAGCUACACACUGUUGGAGAGACUCAAUAAGAAUGAAGAUGCGUUUAUGAAUUAUACAGACUACACACGUUUUCGGGUUAAAAAUGAAAAUAACUACAUGGCUCUGAUCUCCGUGAAUACAGUAAGAAACAAUGGUAACUUUAACCACAUUUAACAGUAUAUUAAUAACAUGCUAAUGGAACAUUUAGAAAGACAAUUUACAAAUAUCACUAAAUAUAUCAUGAUAUCAUGGAUCAUGAACAGUUAUUGUCGAUCCAUCUGCCAUUUUUGCUAUUGUCCUUGCUUGAUGGCUUCACAAUACCUGCAGAACGUCCGAUGAUUCGGCUGUGCAGCUCCAGACAUUAAUACUGCCAUGGGCUGGUAAAUGCAAAUUUUGGGGGCGUAAAUAAUAAUGAUCCCGCCUAUUACGUAACAGUCGGUGUUAUUUAGGAUUGGGCCCUUUUUUCCUUGGUGUUUUUCACGCACAAGUUUUACAAAUGAAGGAGAAAACAAUGGUGUGGGAGGAUCACGAAGAAAAAACUUCAUGUGUUUUUAGAACAACUUGAGGACCUUGACCCACAGAACCACCUCCACUUGUGUCCUCUAUCUCUUCUGAGACUGUUGUGGAGUCUGAUGCUGGUGCAGAGGUACUUUUGGUUGGGAAAGUGUGCAGUGAAUGGUUGAUGUCAUCCUCCUUCAGCUCUCCUAUAUUUCUACCAUUCAGGGAUAGAGGAGUAUCACACGUCACAGAA